UACAGAGGUCCCGAGCGUUGUUCGGAUUCAUUGGGCGUAAAGGGUGCGUAGGCGGCGGGGCAAGUCUGAUGUGAAAUCCUGGGGCUCAACCCUGGAACUGCAUUGGAUACUGCCUUGCUAGAGUACUGGAGAGGAAACUGGAAUUUACGGUGUAGCAGUGAAAUGCGUAGAGAUCGUAAGGAAGACCAGUGGCGAAAGGCGAGUUUCUGGACAGUUACUGACGCUGAGGCACGAAGGCCAGGGGGAGCAAAACGGGG
rnacentral:rRNA from 1 species